UCUUUAACUUAAAUGUCAUAAUCUGAACAAAUUAAGGCAGAUUUUACGUUAAAAACUAGAAAUCUCUAAUUCAUAGCAUAUACAUAAUCUGUGCUCUUACAAACGAAACAAAAUGUCAAAUUUACUUGUUGAUUGUUUACGUUUGAUGUUAUUGAUGUUUGAGAUUGAGAAAUUAUCUUAUAGUAAGUAUACAUUUGUGUUUGUGAAAGUUUUAUACUAUAUUUUUAAGUUACUUAAGUAAUAAUGUAAUUAAUUUAAAAUGUUUCAGUCCAAAUGAGGCACGAUCCUCUCACCCAUCGUCAGUCCCAAGUUGAAACUGUUCGAAUUUAUGUAAAAAAAAAGAAACCCUGGCUUAGCAAAGGGUUUCUUGAAAUACACACCAUUGAAGCCAUUAUACAGAAUAAAAAUACCACAUAACGAGGUUGGCAGCUUCAGUAGGAGGAACAAGCCGUGCGCUAAACACUAUAAACAUUACAAACAAUGAACAAAGGCCAAGCAUCACAUUCCACAACUCCUCCACGUACUGUUACUCCACCGCCGUCUCAACAGCGAUCGGAAUACGCAACAUUUACUGAGAGAUUCCUGAGGGUGGUAGAACAGCAGGACUUGCAGACAUUGUGUGGAACGCAAAGCGGAAAGAGAAGAGAUACUGACUGAAGCCCUGACUGAACUGGGAAAAGGAUUGAAAGCUUUAGCAGAAGCUAAUAAAUGGAUUAAAGAUAAAAUAUUACUACA